rnacentral:rRNA from 1 species
UCCAGACUCCUACGGGAGGCAGCAGUGAGGAAUAUUGGUCAAUGGUCGGGAGACUGAACCAGCCAAGCCGCGUGAGGGAUGAAGGUACAGAGUAUCGUAAACCUCUUUUGUCAGGGAACAAAGGCGGGGACGCGUCCCCGGAUGAGUGUACCUGAAGAAAAAGCAUCGGCUAACUCCGUGCCAGCAGCCGCGGUAAUACGGAGGAUGCGAGCGUUAUCCGGAUUUAUUGGGUUUAAAGGGUGCGUAGGCGGCAUUAUAAGUUAGUGGUAAAAUAUUGGGGCUUCACCUCACUACGCCAUUAAUACUGUAGAGCUAGAGAACAGACGAGGUAGGCGGAAUAAGUUAAGUAGCGGUGAAAUGCAUAGAUAUAACUUAGAACACCGAUAGCGAAGGCAGCUUACCAGACUGAGUCUGACGCUGAUGCACGAGAGCAUGGGUAGCGAACAGGAUUAGAUACCCUAGUA